rnacentral:lncRNA from 1 species
CGGCAUGGUCCUGGUUCCAUUUUUGUUGCUCUUCAAGGAGCCUUCCAUGUUCUGCUUGCGUGUUCUGGAUGUUGAGGAGGGUGUUGUCGGUACGAGUGAAGAAAGCACCGGCCUCUUGAUAGUAGUCAUUCGUGAAGGCGUAGGAGGCGUCGGAGUAUCGUCCUGCAUCAAAUUGGGGUGGAGGUCUGGAUCCUGAAGCUCCAUAUGGAUCAGUGG